GACGAACGCUGGCGGCGUGCCUAAUACAUGCAAGUAGAACGCACAGUUUAUACCGUAGCUUGCUACACCAUAGACUGUGAGUUGCGAACGGGUGAGUAACGCGUAGGUAACCUGCCUGGUAGCGGGGGAUAACUAUUGGAAACGAUAGCUAAUACCGCAUAAUAUUAAUUAUUGCAUGAUAAUUGAUUGAAAGAUGCAACUGCAUCACUACCAGAUGGACCUGCGUUGUAUUAGCUAGUAGGUGAGGUAACGGCUCACCUAGGCGACGAUACAUAGCCGACCUGAGAGGGUGAUCGGCCACACUGGGACUGAGACACGGCCCAGACUCCUACGGGAGGCAGCAGUAGGGAAUCUUCGGCAAUGGACGAAAGUCUGACCGAGCAACGCCGCGUGAGUGAAGAAGGGUUUCGGAUCGUAAAGCUCGGUUGUAAGAGAAGAACGGGUGUGAGAGUGGAAAGUUCACACUGUGACGGUAUCUUACCAGAAAGGGACGGCUAACUACGUG
rnacentral:rRNA from 1 species